rnacentral:rRNA from 1 species
UACGGAGGGUGCGAGCGUUGUCCGGAAUCACUGGGCGUAAAGGGCGCGUAGGCGGCCUGAUAAGUAGGGGGUGAAAUCCUGCGGCUUAACCGCAGGGCUGCCUUCUAAACUGUCAGGCUGGAGCACAGUAGAGGCAGGUGGAAUUCCCGGUGUAGCGGUGGAAUGCGUAGAGAUCGGGGAAGAACAUCAGUGGCGAAGGCGGCCUGCUGGGCUGUUGCUGACGCUGAGGCGCGACGCGUGGGGGAGCAAA